rnacentral:misc_RNA from 1 species
CGGAUUGUGAGCACGAGUUCCACACUGAUUGCAUCAAGCAAUGGCUAAUGCAGAAGAACAUAUGUCCGAUAUGCAAAACAACUGCUCUCGCUGCUACCUCAAGGGGUGAAGGGGACGUGCUGCAGCCGGAGAGCGAGGAGGCCUUAGAUGAUGAGUGACCAUAUUCGGACACCUUGGUUUGUUAGAUGGGCAGGCAGGCGAAAACCGUCUCCUUUAUGUAUUUUUCGUUGUGUCGCAAAGUUUUUUUUUCUAUCUAUUUGUAGUGGGUACUUGAUAAUAAACCCUGAAGCUGGAUGAUUUCAUACUUUGAAGCUUGAAUUUG